CGCUAUCACUCCUACGGGAGGCAGCAGUGGGGAAUAUUGCACAAUGGGCGCAAGCCUGAUGCAGCCAUGCCGCGUGUAUGAAGAAGGCCUUCGGGUUGUAAAGUACUUUCAGCAGUGAGGAAGGCAGGUACGUUAAUAGCGUGCUUGUUUGACGUUAGCUGCAGAAGAAGCACCGGCUAACUCCGUGCCAGCAGCCGCGGUAAUACGGAGGGUGCGAGCGUUAAUCGGAAUUACUGGGCGUAAAGCGCAUGCAGGUGGUUUGUUAAGUCAGAUGUGAAAGCCCGGGGCUUAACCUCGGAAUUGCAUUUGAAACUGGCAGGCUAGAGUCUUGUAGAGGGGGUAGAAUUUCAGGUGUAGCGGUGAAAUGCGUAGAGAUCUGAAGGAAUACCAGUGGCGAAGGCGGCCCCCCUGGACAAAGACUGACGCUCAGAUGCGAAAGCGUGGGGAGCAAACAGGAUUAGAUACCCUGGUAG
rnacentral:rRNA from 1 species